rnacentral:tRNA from 1 species
GGGCCAAUCGUAUAGUGGCUUAUUAUGCUGUCUUAGGGCGAUUACCUCCUUGCAAGAGGUUGCGCUAAGUUGACAGAGGUCCCCGGUUCGAUUCCGGGUUGGCCCC